rnacentral:rRNA from 1 species
UACGGAGGGUGCAAGCGUUGUCCGGAAUCACUGGGCGUAAAGGGCGCGUAGGCGGCUCGGUAAGUAGGGGGUGAAAUCCUGCGGCUCAACCGCAGGGCUGCCUUCUAAACUGUCGAGCUCGAGCACGGUAGAGGCAGAUGGAAUUCCCGGUGUAGCGGUGGAAUGCGUAGAGAUCGGGAAGAACAUCAGUGGCGAAGGCGGCCUGCUGGGCUGUUGCUGACGCUGAGGCGCGACAGCGUGGGGAGCAAACAGG